rnacentral:rRNA from 1 species
ACAGCUCAAAUUUGAAAUCUGGCCUCUUCGGGGUCCGAGUUGUAAUUUGUAGAGGAUGUUUCGGGUACCGCCUCGGUUUAAAUUUCUUGGAACAGAAUGUCAGAGAGGGUGAGAAUCCCGUCUUGGACCGGCGGUAGGGCCCAUGUGAAACUCCUUCGACGAGUCGAGUUGUUUGGGAAUGCAGCUCAAAAUGGGUGGUAAAUUUCAUCUAAAGCUAAAUAUUGGCCAGAGACCGAUAGCGCACAAGUAGAGUGAUCGAAAGAUGAAAAGAACUUUGAAAAGAGAGUUAAACAGUAUGUGAAAUUGUUGAAAGGGAAGCGCUUACAACCAGACUUGAGCGCGGCGGUUCCCCCUUCCUUUUGGUUGGGUUACUCCGCCGUGUCCAGGCCAACAUCGGUUCUGGGGGUCGGUUAAAGGCCUGGGGAAUGUAUCUACUCCUUCGGGGGUAGACUUAUAGCCCCGGGUGUCAUGCGACCACCCGGGACCGAGGAACGCGCUUCGGCUCGGAUGUUGGCGUAAUGGUUGUCAGCGACCCGUCUUGAAACACGGACCAAGGAGUCUAACAUCUAUGCGAGUGUUUGGGUGUCAAACCCGGAACGCGAAAUGAAAGUGAACGGAGGUAGGAAGCCUUUAGGCUGCACUAUCGACCGAUCCUGAUGUCUUCGGAUGGAUUUGAGUAAGAGCAUAGCUGUUGGGACCCGAAAGAUGGUGAAC